rnacentral:rRNA from 1 species
ACUGUGAUCUCUGUGAAUUUAGCUGGUGAACGUGGUUUGAACUUGGUCAAAUUGGUUGUUAUUUGGGGUCUGCUUAGCUGCAGGUCUCCGCCUAUGGUGGAGAUGCGCGAGGCACUUAUCAGGUGUUGCGCGCCUCAGGUGAAUCGGACCAGUUCGCCAGUGCAUUUUCACAGAGUGUUCACCACGACCGGCAUCGCUGUCCGGCUGGUAUGGUUAAACCGGUCUUGCAUUGUCCUCGUGGCUUUGCUUGGUCGGGAUGGCAGGUAGCUCUUGGGCUUGCUCGCAGUUCGCUGUGGGUUCAGGUCCUUGAGUGUAAACAGCUGACCGUAUCGGUUCUGUGCAGUAUGUCGGAGACGGCGGCUUGUGGUGUGUGCGUGCGUGCCAGUUGGCUGGCGAGUCCGGGUUUGGUUAUUAUGUUGCCUGUGUUGGCAGGCCUAAUGAUAGCUCGGAUUCGUUCGGCUGACGGUUGCGUGCGUGUCACUUUCCAGGGCCAAUAGUCUGUGGUGUUGCGGUAGACUUUCCACCUGACCCGUCUUGAAACACGGACCAAGGAGAGUAACAUGUACGCGAGUCAUUGGGCGUAACGAAACCCAAAGGCGAAGUGAAAGUAAAGGUCUGGCUUGUCUAGACUGAGGUGAGAUCCUGUCGUUUCUCACACGUGGUAUCCCCAAGUAUCGAACGGCAGGCGCAUCACCGGCCCGUCCCAUGGUGUGGUGACACUUCAGUGUUCGUCAUCGGGGCGGAGCAUGAGCGUACAUGUUGAGACCCGAAAGAUGGUGAACUAUGCUUGCGCAGGUUGAAGCCAGAGGAAACUCUGGUGGAGGACCGCAGCGAUUCUGACGUGCAAAUCGAUCGUCAGACGUGAGUAUAGGGGC